AUACGGAGGAUCCGAGCGUUAUCCGGAUUUAUUGGGUUUAAAGGGAGCGUAGGCGGACGCUUAAGUCAGUUGUGAAAGUUUGCGGCUCAACCGUAAAAUUGCAGUUGAUACUGGGUGUCUUGAGUACAGUAGAGGCAGGCGGAAUUCGUGGGGGAGGGGUGGAAUGCUUAGAUAUCACGAAGAACUCCGAUUGCGAAGGCAGCCUGCUGGACUGUAACUGACGCUGAUGCUCGAAAGUGUGGGUAUCAAACAGGAUUAGAUACCCUGGUAGUCCACACAGUAAACGAUGAAUACUCGCUGUUUGCGAUAUACAGUAAGCGGCCAAGCGAAAGCGUUAAGUAUUCCACCUGGGGAGUACGCCGGCAAGGGUGAAACUCAAAUGAAUUGACGGGG
rnacentral:rRNA from 1 species